ensembl:lncRNA
GGAAAGGGUUGUGCGGAUCUUCAUCUUGGACUGCAGCAAAGGAGUCGUCCAAAAAGUCCACUGGGAAGUUGGAUGAAGAGGGCAUGGAAAUAGCUGUUUGUCGCCACGGAGUCCUCUUAGCUGCAUUGAACAUGUUUCGAGGGGAGAUCUUUGCUUACCCCCUUUUUCUCCAGAGGAAGUUGGCAGCUAACGUCCCAGGACAUAUUACGUUCCUUUGCUCCGAUGUGGCCUGUAAAUAUUUCCCCUAUUUAACCAAGGUGGCUCAGCAGUGCCCUGAGCUGAGGAACCUCUUGUCAAUGCGUCCUUUUCUCUCCGUCAUGCAUGCAAAGGCUCACACUUGGAAAUGCGAGAUCAAAUGGGGAGGUGCGUUUCAGGAUGGGGCCGGUUCAACAGUUGGAGAAGAGGUGGAACAAGUAAACAGUUUCCUGUCUAGGGCGGCCAUCACAACGAAGUACAUGUCUAAAGCAGGGCAAACAGACAUGCUGACCCUCCUGGCUUUGGGUUGGAACAAAAGGAAAGUGGAACAACUGGGCCGCACUUUGAGCCAGAGAUAUCUCAAGAUCAUAAGGAUCCUUAGAGAACAAGUGGAGAGCCUGAAUGUGACCAAAAAUGAGCUGGGUGUGGAUGACGACACACUGCAGCAAUGGGUGGCCGAUGUGCAGAAAUGGGCUGAAGAUAGCAACAAGAGGCGACACAGAAUUCGCAAGGUCAUCUUAGUUGAGAAGAAACGCUUGGCGGCUGCUGUUGACGACUACAACAAGCUUGCUGAACCAACAAAGCAAAUCGUAUCCAGUGAUGCCCUCAUCCAGACCGAUAUUUGGCCCUGGCAGAGCACAAGUGAACCUGCUGCUGAACUCCAGACAAAGAGAAAGGUCUUUGAGAAGGUGAUGGCUGUGAGGCGCCUGAGAGAGGAGGAGAUGAUCCUUUGCAGGGAGAUGCGGCAUCACUGGACAGUGUUGCGAAUGCGAUCUGUGGUGUUGGGGACAAUCUCCUCAGACUCCUCCCUUGUUGGCAUGUCGGAGGAUGCACAGAAGGGACUCCGUAGCCUGGUUUUAAAAAAACAAAGUGAACUGAAAGCUGAAAUGCUCAAAGUAAAGGACAUGUACAAGAGAAUCCUCAGCCACCAACCACUCCUGGAAAUGGACUCGGAGGAGGAGGAGGACAUUCCAGACGAUGCCACUGAGAGUGAUUUGAGCACUUCUGAUGAAGACUGAUUGUGUCAUCCUUGAUGUUAUUUUUGGUAAAAUAAAA